GGGGGCGUAACGGAUUCGACGGGAUUGAGCUGUGGUGAAGAGGCGUGCCGGGUUCCGAGCUCCCGUAAAACGAUCGGAAAACCAAAACUGCCAACACGCAGUUUGCUUACGCUGCCUAAUUGAUUAGGUAGCCGCUCCAGCCGUUGAGCCCGCGCGGCGGCGAGUGAGCGUCAUUUCGCGGGAUUGGCUGAAGGCUUCGGCUCGGAGCCGUAGGCUGAAAUUCAUCGGGCUAGGCGUUCCCACUUCCUGCCGACCCGGAGGGGGACGCUGAAAAUCGCGAGUCGGCUACGCACGUAGGCUCUUCACGGUGGACUUUCUCGGACGCGGGUUCGACUCCCGCCGCCUCCACCA
rnacentral:tmRNA from 1 species